GCGGGAAUAGCUCAGUUGGUAGAGCACGACCUUGCCAAGGUCGGGGUCGCGAGUUCGAGCCUCGUUUCUCGCUCCA
rnacentral:tRNA from 2 species